rnacentral:rRNA from 1 species
UACGUAGGGGGCGAGCGUUGUUCGGAAUCAUUGGGCGUAAAGCGCGCGCAGGCGGUCCUUUAAGUCUGAUGUGAAAGCCCACGGCUCAACCGUGGAGGGUCAUUGGAAACUGGGGGACUUGAGUGCAGAAGAGGAAAGCGGAAUUCCACGUGUAGCGGUGAAAUGCGUAGAGAUGUGGAGGAACACCAGUGGCGAAGGCGGCUUUCUGGUCUGUAACUGACGCUGAGGCGCGAAAGCGUGGGGAGCAAACAGG